ACAUACUCUCACUGUAUGAUCCUGUAAUCAUGCUCCUUGGCAUUCACCCAAAGGAGCUGAGAACUUCUGUCCACACCAAAACCUGCAUAUGGAUAUUUAUAGUAGCUUUCAUAAUUGCCAUAUAUAUAAGUCGGUUGUGUUUCUAUAUACAGGCAAUGAACAAUCAGAAAUUGAAAUACAAAGAAAAAUACCAUUUACAAUAGCAACAAAUAUGGAUUACCUAGAAGAAUCCAUGGGAGGAUUAAGAAGAAAAGAAACCAAGGAAAGUGUUUUUCAAGUAGGAGGAAAUGGUCGGCAGUAUCAAAUCCUGAUGAUAAACAGAGACACCAUGCUGUUGUCUAUCAAAGACCAUUGGGAUGGAUGACCACUUACAGAAAAGGAUGUCAAAACCUUGAGAGAAUCAUGCUGUCUUCUGUGUCAUAAAGACAAAAGACUUGAGAAGUAGCUUAAAGCUGAACUAGUGAAACCGGAAGCCAACCACCACCACCAGGGGAGAGAGAGCCGGCAGCUGCCAGGAGGAAAUUUUGACUACAACUCUGUCAACCAGGAAAAUUUUAAUCACCGGCCAUGGAAAUUGGGCCAAGUUACAGGUUUUCCACUUUCCAGUUAUACAAGAAUAAAAUGGAUUAUACUAAGUUGGAAAGCAUUUUGGAGUAAUCAGAAUACAGAUGUACAAAUAUG